rnacentral:rRNA from 1 species
UACGGGGGGAGCAAGCGUUGUUCGGAUUUACUGGGCGUAAAGGGCGCGUAGGCGGCCACGACAAGUCACUUGUGAAAUCUCCGGGCUUAACUCGGAAAGGUCAAGUGAUACUGUCGGGCUAGAGUGCAGAAGGGGCAACUGGAAUUCUCGGUGUAGCGGUGAAAUGCGUAGAUAUCGAGAGGAACACCUGCGGCGAAGGCGGCACUCGUGGGCUGGUACUGACGCUGAGGAGCGAAAGCGUGGGUAGCAAACAGG